rnacentral:misc_RNA from 1 species
UCUCCGUAGGUGAACCUGCGGAGGGAUCAUUACUGAGUGAGGGCUUCGGUCCGACCUCCAACCCUUUGUGAACCAAACUUGUUGCUUCGGGGGCGACCCUGCCGUCCGCGGCUGAGCGCCCCCGGUGGCCAAUUAUUAAACUCUGCAUCUCUUGCGUCGGAGUCUUAAAGAAAUUUAAACAAAACUUUCAACAACGGAUCUCUUGGUUCUGGCAUCGAUGAAGAACGCAGC